ACACAAGAUGUGCAUGAGCUUACAUUGUGGUCAAGUGAGACAAAUGUCCAUUUUCUACUGCACUUAUUUGGUUAAUACAGACAAACUUUCACACACGAAUGAACAAAUUUCAUUGCACUUAACAGCCAUGUUUUUGAAGUGUGGAAGGAAGCUGGUGUACCUGAAUAAACCCCACACAAACAUGGUGAGAACUUACAGGCUUGAGCCAAGAUUCGAAUGCCGAGCCUCUGGGCUGUAACCCAGAUGUGUUAACGACUCUUCCGCCGUGCUACCCAAAAUAGUGCACGUUUACAACAUACACAUUUAUAAAGGCGCUUCAAAAACUCAAAAACCGACAAAGGUGGUACAAUUUAGAAAACCAUACAAAAAAAUCCAUUAAGAUGAGACUUGACGCGUAGUAUACUACACAAGAGUUUGACAAAGCUCACUAGAGCUCCGUUCAACAAGUAUCAGUACAAUGUUCAACUAGCUUCCAAACAUAUUAUGGCUUGAUUUUAAUGUUCAUAUAAGUUAAUAUAUUUGAUCAUGUACAAGUAAUUUUUUUUUAUUUAAUUUUAUUGCAUGAACUACAUUCACCCACAGCCAGCACGUUGAAAGAGUGGUUUCACCAUCUGCUUCAUAGUCAAGAGUUGCCCUCUAAUUGGCUGGUGACUAGCUGGGAUGGAUUCCAGCUCAUCCGCGACCCGAAUGACAAUAAGUGGUACACAAUAUGGAUAGAUGUCGCUAUAGGAACAAAGCCAUGUACUGUACUGUAUCUUGAUGUUUUUAUUUUAAUCAUUUUUUUAAAUUUUUAUUUUCACACUUGUGAUUAAAAAAAAUUGAAGCAUA